AUUGAACGCUGGCGGCAGGCCUAACACAUGCAAGUCGGACGAGCGGCGGACGGGUGAGUAAUGUAUGGGGACCUGCCUGAUGGCGGGGGAUAACUACUGGAAAGGGUAGCUAAUACCGCAUACCAUCGGAGCGACCCAUAUGGGAUUAGCUUGUGGGUGAGGUAACGGCUCACCUAGGCGACGAUCCCUAGCUGGUCUGAGAGGAUGAUCGGCCACACUGGGACUGAGACACGGCCCAGACGCCUACGGGAGGCAGCAGUGGGGAAUAUUGCACAAUGGGCGCAAGCCUGAUGCAGCCAUGCCGCGUGUAUGAAGAAGGUUUUCGGGUUGUAAAGUACUUUCAGUCGGGAGGCGUUACCGACAGAAGAAGCCCCGGCUAACUCCGUGCCAGCCGCCGCGGUAAUUC
rnacentral:rRNA from 1 species